GCCGUGUAGUCCGCUAGUGGGGCUGAGGACAGCCUUUUUUGCCUUCUCCUCUUUUCGACGUGGUGAAACCUAAUAAACACUACCUCAACCACAUGAUCAAGGAAUGUGUUGACACUGGAGUUCAAGCUGAUCUCACACUGCAAAGUGGUGUUAUGGUAAGGUGAAAUCUUACCAAAUACACUCAGCUGUUUUUGUAAAUAUUUUUGCUCCUACUUUCAAACUUGAGAAACUUUUCAUUUCAACGGAGGAGGAAAUGUUAGAUGAAUGAUAAAGAAGAUCAUUUAUUUCUUAAAUAACAGCAUAAUUAAAUACAGUAUAAUUGCUUGUGGUUAGAACCAUAUUAGUUAUCUUAAAACAGAAAUAAAAUACCUUGAAUUAUUAAA